AUCAACGUCUGAUCUUUGCCGGUAAGCAACUAGAAGACACACGGACUGUCGCCAAUUACAACAUUCAAGACAAGUCAACCAUCGACCUUGUAAUCCGCCUCACUGGGGACUAGAUGACCAUUGCACCAUUUUGCCAAAUACUACAUCCAAGAGUAAGAAACUGUCCACCUCAUCGUCUGCCGCCGUUGGGGACCCUUAUUAUGAAGACAAUUACCCUAUAAAUAGAGAAAUUGUACAUUAUUGAUAGCAGUCUUUGACUUUUGUGUUUUUUUUUAUUAAGGAUUUGACUUUUGUUUUUAAGAAUGCAUUCUCCUUAGUCUCCUAUCUUCUAUCUAUUAGAAUUAUUUACUGCACAAGUCUUUUUUGAAUAUUAUUAAAGGACCAGCAAUCUCCUUAUAAUUUAAAAUGAAUACACAUUUAAAAAAACAAAAACAAAAUGUCCAAAUCUGCCGGUCAUGUUGGAUUUGGCUUUGCUGGUUUGUUUGUUGGGUUCAGUUCUGGUUCAACCCUCACCGCCUCCCUCGCGGCGGUGGUCAGUUGUUCGUUGGUUCUACCUUUUACAUUGAAUCAAUUCUGGUUUGGUUAUACUUUGUUCGAUCUAACCCAUCUCAGCUCAAUUUCGAUUGGUGUGUGUGUUAGUUGUACUUGUCCUUUAAUCCGUCGCAGUUGCCGGUUCAGUUCUAUUUACAAUUUUCGUUUGCGGUUCUGACACCGUGCUGUCAGUUCGUGGUACUAUUUCCGUGUUGGCGGUUGGCUCGCUCUCAAAAUCUGAAUUUGGCGCUCGUCAGUUCACGCACCAUAUUUUUUUUGUUUUGUUUGCAAUUUGGUUUCGCGCCCGUACGCGGGCUCAUUGGAUUGUGAACGUGAUGCGUGGUUGUUUGUCUUCGAGUUUGGAUUUUCUUUUUUGGUUUUGACUUCUUUAGCCAUUUGGGGUUGUAUUGUAUUAUCCGUUAGGUUGUUUUUUGCUUUUACCAGGUUAAGUUUAUGCUCCUCAGUCUUUUGUAAUCUCCCCUUUUGCUUAAAAAAAAGGACAGCAAAAAAAUAAAUAAAUUGAUACAUAGAAAUAACACAACACUAUCUUUGAUUGUAUACAUCUGAUCCGAUACAUGAAAACUCAUUAGCUUCCUCACAGGUCAACCAUGUUGGGUUUAACAACUUCUGUGACAAAAUCCCUACAAUAAUAACGAGCCUUAUGCCACUAGGUGGCGUGAGCAGCAUGUCGGUUGACAACAUCCCUGCGGCAAAAUAAAAUCCAUGUCCUGUUAAAUACCUUGUUCACAGUUACGGCUCCAUCAGGAACUUUCAGCUUUACACCAGAUUUCGCUAUGAUACUCGACUUUUCCCUGUUAAGGCACCAGAAAAACAACACAUAAUGUGUCACGUUUAUUAAAUGAUGUGACAACACAUCAUUGUAUGCAUGUGUAAAUGAUCUACACUUAGAAGAAGGUUCUCAAAAUGUUUUCUACAUUUACUUUGACUAUUUUUUGCUAAGUCAGUUACUCAUUUUAAAAAUCAAUUUCAAAAAUGUAUACAAUUCAAACUCCCUAUUUCUUAUUUAGAGUAAUUAGUCAAUUUAGUCGCUAAAUUAUCAUUCUCUCACCAACUCAGUCCCUAAACUAUUAAAACCAACUAAAAGGUCCCUAAACUAUUUUUCAUCCAUCAAUUAGGUCCCUAAACUAUUUUUCAUCCAUCAAUUUAGUCCUCCGUUAUCUUUUUCGUUAACUAUUCUUUAAAACCCUAAAAUUCAAAAGCUACCUUUACGCUUAUCUCUCUCUUCUCGAUCAACUCUCUCAACUCCAUUAAUUUAGUCCUCCGUCACCAACUCUUUUUUCUUCAACCCCCUUCAAUUGCAUCUUCUUAUCUCUCUCUUCUCGAUCAACUCUCUCAAAUCAUCUCAAUCUGAAAACCCUAGCGCCACCUAUAUGCUCCAAUUGAUGGAUUAUGGUUUAGUUGAUUUAUGUAAUGAAGAUUAUGGUUUAUGGUUUAAAUUAUGGUUAAGUUUGUUUUUUGGUUUAUGUUGAUUUAGCAGUAAUGUUUCAUUUGGUUUAAAUUUGAUUUAGCAGUAAUGUUUCAUUUGGUUUAAAUUUGAUUUAGCAGUAAUGAAUUUGUGUUGUUAGUAAGUAGUGAACGAGACAAAUGAUGAUUUAGUAGUAAUGAAUUAUGUUAAAAAUGAAUUUGAUUUAAUAGUAUGGUUUAGGGACUAUUUGUUUUAGCAGUAAUUUGAUUUAGUAGUAUGAUUUAGCAGUAAUGAUUUAACAGUGUUGUUACUAUUUUGUUGUUUUUUAAGAUAGUUUAGGGACUAAAUUGAAGUAUUUUUAUAGUUUAGGGACUACUAACGGUCACUUAACGGAAAAGUUAACCGAGGGACUAAAUUGAAGGAUGUGAAUAUAGUUUAGGGACCUUUUAGUUGUUUUUAAUAGUUUAGGGACUAAGUUGGUGAGAGAAUGAUAGUUUAGGGACUAAAUUGACUGAUUACUCUCUUAUUUAUGUAAGGCUUUUUCUACUUCAGUAAACUAUAUUGAUUGUUAAAUUUGAAAUAUAGAAACAAUUAUUGUUUCUUUUUUAUUUUACAAAAUAAAAUGCAAGUAACAGAAACCUAUUUGACCCUGAAAAAAUAGGCUUACAUGACCUAAGUCCUAUUCCCACUCCAAUUCCUUGGACCGGAUCCAUAUAGUCAAUUUUUCGAUGUAGUCGUACAGUCGCGCCAUUUAUAGUCGUCUGAUCAAGAUCGAACAAUCAUAAUUUAAAAACUUAUUUAUUGACUGUAUUUAUUUAAAACGACUGCACCGAAAAGUCGACUACACCUUAUCCAUUUCCCAAUUCCUUGCUUCAAAAGGUAAAGUGGGAGAAAAAAGGUAUUUAAACCAAAGGGAAAGUUUUGUAGAGCCGAGAAUAGAAAACUAAUUAGAGUCUGUCUUCUUAACCUAACAUUCAGUCAUUCAAGACUCUUCUCCGCGACAACGAUGAUGAUAUCCCUGUAUGAUGGGAAAGAAGAUGCUUAUUGGUGGGUUCUUUGCACCGAAAAAAUAUUCAAGGAGCAAGGGACACCAGAGGCUAUGAAAUUGUGGAAAGCUGUUACGGCAUUGAGAGGUCCUGCUCUACAAUGGUGGCUCUGGCGGUCUCUUCGUCAGCCGCCGACAACUUGGAAUGACUUCACCACGGUUUUUAUUUGGCGUUUUAAACCUGAAUGGAGAGAUAUUUUGCCGGUAGAUGACAACGAGGAGGAGGAGCCAAAAUUGGACUUGUCUAUGUUGUCGCUGUCCAAUGGUAGUAACAACAACAAUAGCUCCGUUUCUGUGCUUAUUUCGGACCCACAAGUGUUCGAUUGCUACAAUUGUUCUCAAACCUUAACUGUUCCACUCUUUCAGGUAUAUUCUUUUUAUUUCAUCAAUUAUUUUCUAUCUUUAAUUUCUAUGUUUCUGGUGAUUAAAUGUGAUACUCUUUUACAUAUAUUAUGAAGCUUUGUAGUGAUUAAAUGUUUUUUAGAGUUUGGAGGGUAGGGUUUUGGGGGAAGGAGAGGAGAAUAGAGAAAAAGAAUACUUAAGAUUUUUAAUUGUGCAAGUAUUAUAACAUGCUUGGAUGAGUUAUUUUAAUUAAUGGAGGCUAAUACUUUCUUUACAUUGGUUUUCAAUAUUAGUAACAAUGAAACCCACUUCGGUUGGUCUGGUGGUAUUAGCUUCGGACCUGGGAGUGUGCUCCCCCUUAAGGUUUCAAGUUCAAUUAUCUCUAGUGUCAAUUUGGAUGGGCUAAUUUAGCUUCUUCAAAAAAAUAUUACUAACAAUGAAUAUAGUUUAUUAAUUAUGUUGUCAAUUUUGUAUAUCUUUUUAUUUUUGAGCUUUUAUAUAUGUAUGGUAUGAAUUUCUUGUAUUGUUUCCCUAAACUUUGAUAUAGCGGCCAUUGAGUACAUAGAUUUUGAGAAGAAAAAAAUGAAAAUGAUUAGCUUAAUGUUGGUUAUACUUUUGAUUGGAUAACAUGCUAACAAGUCUUGCAAAGAAAUUUCUUGUUUUUAUCUUGGUUCAAACUCUAACUUGAUGAUUUUCUUUUUAUGUUUCAAUUUAGUGUGAUAAUAGUCAUAUUGUUUGCUCUACCUGCUGUCCUAAACUUAUGAACAAGUGUGGCAAGUGCUCAUUGGGCAUUAGCUCAAAACGUUGUAAAGCCAUUGAGAAUAUAUUGCAAUCAAUGGGAAUGCCAUGUCCCAAUGAAAUACAUGGUUGCAAGGAGAGUAUAAGUUACCUUGGAAAUAGGAAGCAUGAGGAAUGCAUUCAUGAGCCAUGUUGCUGCCCUGUUUUAGGUUGUAACUUUGUUGCAUCUUCGGAAGUGUUGUCCAACCAUUUCAGCCAUAAACACGAUGGUUCCCAAAUAGAAUUUUCUUAUGGUCACUCCUUCAUUGUCUCUUUAAAGUCUAAUGAUGAAACCAUUGUUCUUCAAGAGGAAAAUGAUGGCAAACUAUUUAUUCUCAAUAAUAGUACUAUGCUUUUGGGAAAUGCAGUCAAUAUUUGCCACAUUGGUCCUAAUUCUUCUGAAUCCGAGUAUAGUUAUGAUAUAUUGGCGAGGUCUCAGACAUGCAAACUGAAAUUACAUUCUUCUGCAAAGAAUGUUCAACGUGUUACUUUAGCAACUCUUUCAUCGGAGUUCCUUGUCAUUCCGUCUGGUUCUUGUGAACCUCUCAAGCUAGAAAUUUGCAUAACCCCCUUGGUACCUCCUAUCUCCUUUUCUCUGCUUGUGUGUUUGUGUGUGUUUUCCUUUUCAAUUUAAGUCUUAUUAUUUUCUUUUAUGUUUUGAAUUUAUUCUCUAGCAUUUUAUCUCAAAUUUAUCGGUUUUCCAAAUGCCAAAACAAAGGUUGUUAACUUUUUCUAUUUUAUGAUCAGUUCUUGAAAUAUCAGUCUCAAACUUUAUUUAAUCUAUUUGUUGACAAUUGUGGGGCAGAUGCAAAUCUACGUAAAGACCCUGACUGGAACAAUAAUCUCCAUGAGGGUUAAGACUUCAGACACGAUAGUCGAUGUGAAGAAGAAGAUUCUUGACAAGGGGGGCUAUGAAGUGCACGAUCAACGUCUGAUCUUUGCCGGUAAGCAACUAGAAGACACACGGACCGUCGCCAAUUACAACAUCCAAGACAAGUCAACCAUCGACCUUGUAAUCCGCCACACUGGGGACUAGAUGACCAUUGCACCAUUUUGCCAAAUACUACAUCCAAGAGUAAGAAACUGUCCACCUCAUCGUCUGCCGCCGUUGGGGACCCUUAUUAUGAAGACAAUUACCCUAUCAAUAGAGAAAUUGUACAUUAUUGAUAACAGUCUUUGACUUUUGUGUUUUUUUAUUAAGGAGUUGACUUUUGUUUUUAAGAAUGCAUUCUCCUU
rnacentral:lncRNA from 1 species